rnacentral:rRNA from 1 species
UCCGUGCCAGCAGCCGCGGUAAUACGGAGGGUGCGAGCGUUAAUCGGAAUUACUGGGCGUAAAGCGCAUGCAGGUGGUUUGUUAAGUCAGAUGUGAAAGCCCCGGGGCUCAACCUCGGAACUGCAUUUGAAACUGGCAGACUAGAGUACUGUAGAGGGGGUAGAAUUCAGGUGUAGCGGUGAAAUGCGUAGAGAUCUGAAGGAAUACCGGUGGCGAAGGCGACUUCUUGGACUGUAACUGACGCUGAGGCACGAAAGCGUGGGGAGCGAACAGGAUUAGAUACCCUGGUAG